rnacentral:rRNA from 1 species
AUUGAACGCUGGCGGCAGGCCUAACACAUGCAAGUCGAGCGCGCGGCGGACGGGUGAGUAAUGUAUGGGGACUGCCCGGGAGAGGGGGAUAACUACUGGAAACGGUGGCUAAUACCGCAUAAUAUCGGGUAACCCCUAUGGGAAUAGCUAGUAGGUGGGGUAAAGGUGCACCUAGGCGACGCGCUCUAGCUGGUCUGAGAGGAUGAUGAGCUACAUUUGGACUGAUAAACGGCCCAGACUCGUACGGAGGCAGAAGUGGGGAAUAUUGCACAAUGGGCGCAAGCCUGAUGCAGCCCUGCCGCGUGUAUUAAGAAGGCCUUAGGGUUGUAAAGUACUUUCAUCGGGGAGGCGUUACCCGCAGAAGAAGCACCGGCUAACUCCGUGCCAGCAGCCGCGGUAAUUC